GCCCCAACAGCUAGCCCAACUUCAAAAUUCAACGAUAUACAUAAAUACCCCCAAACGACAACAAGACAACCAACAAACCAUUUUUCCCCCUGAGUAUCUGAGACAGAAAAGGGCAAUAGGCGCUAUAGAGAAAGUACCGCAAGGGAAAGCUGAAAGAGAACUGAAACAAAUCAGUAAAGGAAAAAGAAGCAGAGCUUUAACCUCGUAUUU
rnacentral:rRNA from 1 species